rnacentral:rRNA from 1 species
AUUGAACGCUGGCGGCAUGCCUUACACAUGCAAGUCGAACGGCAGCACGGGUGCUUGCACCUGGUGGCGAGUGGCGAACGGGUGAGUAAUACAUCGGAACGUACCUUAUCGUGGGGGAUAACGCAGCGAAAGCUGUGCUAAUACCGCAUACGCCCUGAGGGGGAAAGCGGGGGAUCGAAAGACCUCGCGCGAUUAGAGCGGCCGAUGCCUGAUUAGCUUGUUGGUGGGGUAAAAGCCCACCAAGGCGACGAUCAGUAGCUGGUCUGAGAGGACGAUCAGCCACACUGGGACUGAGACACGGCCCAGACUCCUACGGGAGGCAGCAGUGGGGAAUUUUGGACAAUGGGGGAAACCCUGAUCCAGCAAUGCCGCGUGAGUGAAGAAGGCCUUCGGGUUGUAAAGCUCUUUUGUCAGGGAAGAAACACCGGCUCUAACACAGUCCGGGAAUGACGGUACCUGAAGAAUAAGCACCGGCUAACUACGUG